ensembl:lncRNA
GUAAGCAAUCCAGCCAGCUUGCUUCCCAGAACACUUUGGCCCCAACUCCCGCUGUGUCCGAGCCCUGGCUAAGAGAGAGGACCUGACAGGGUGGCAGAUAGAAGAUCUGGAUCCCCAUUUCCUCAACUCCAUGUUUCAAGGAAGGAGCAGAAACUCCCCCAGUGAGCUCUGCUGACCUGUGUUAGCACCCAGAAGGGACAGCAGAGGUGCGCGUGGCAGGGCAUGGAGUGUCUUGGAGUCUUACUCAGCACUUCUUUCUCCUCGCAGGCCCACUGCUGACACCACAGACACUGCUGGCACGCCUGUUGGUGGUGGCAGGGAGCCCUGUUGCAGACCGCAAACUCCAAGCCACUGCCUUACUGCUCAUGCAAAACCUCCACAGCAGGAUCCACAGAGCUGUGGGGGCCAUGUGGGCUGCUGAGAUCCCCCUGCUGCUACAGUGUCUCCAAGUUCCUGAGGGCGUUGCUGGAGACCAUGGAGGAUGAGGCCUGGACCAAGGCCCUGAGCUGUGAGCUGAGCCAGUGGCUGAGCAGCUCUCCCAGCAGCUCUGGAGAAAAGUCUUUCCUGUACAAGGCUCUAGGGACAGCGCUAGGAGCUUGUAAGGGUGUCCUCCACAUCCAAGAGAAGCUGCUGCCACACCUGGAGGAAGCAAAUGCAGAGGUGUCAUCUGAGGCCCAGAUGAGCUCUCCUCUCCUCCAGCUUCUGGAAUGAUCUCUAUUCUCAGCCAUGCUGCUGAGAGCAACUUCCACCCAGUCCUGGACACACUCACCAUGUUUGCAUCCAGGCUGUGCAAAGGCCAGAAUGCGAGGAUUUCCAGAUGGAGCUGGACAGUGUGAGAGCUCAGGCCACACGCAGCGCUCUCAUCCUCGCCCAUGGCAGCUCAGCACUGCGUGCCUCCAAGGAACAGCUGCUCGCCCACCUGGAGGGAGACAUCAUGGGCAGCAUCCUGAUGCUCUACAGCUGCAGCUGCUGGGUCCCUUGGGGAAUGUUUUGUGUCCUGAUGAAGAUCCAAGCCCUUCCCUUAGUGUUGUCUCCACAUGUCCCCCUUGCAGCCCUUGGCCCUUCCCACAGUUCAAAGAAUGUUCUUCUCUCUUGGGUCUCAGGAGUGGCAGAACAACCUCACACUGGUGCAGAGCAUCACUGUCUUCAGCUCUGCCUUCCAAGCUGUCGGUGACUCUGUCUGGUUUAACCCCUCCUUGAAGGGCACGCUGCUGGAGAUCCUGAUAAUGAGUGCCUAGAGCCAGGGCUGUCUGCAGCGGAGUUCUGGGCUGUGCCAUGAGGCUUGCUUCCCUGGAGGCAUACAGGUCUUCCUCAGCCACACGUCUCCAGCUGGUGGGGACCUUGGGUGCUGGCAGGCAGUGGCAGGGCAGUGGGCUAUGUACACCAGCUUUGGAGUUGCUGCAUCCUGCAGUGCUUCCGUGGGAAAUGUGGGAGUGAUGGGGCCAGUGUGUGGCAGUUGUGUCUGUCUCAGGGCCGGGCGGAAGAGCUCUUGCGUGCCCCUUGCCCACCUUGACAGUGUCUCUCUGGGACUUGCAGAACUUGCUGAAGAAGUAUUUCUUGGGCAACCCCGUCUCCCCAGUGCCCCUCAAGGUGGUUCUGGCCCUGGAGCAGUUGAGGUAAGGGCCAGGUAAGUCUGUUUGAGGUGAAAAUUACUCAGUUACAACUUGAGACUCCUCUUUUUCUAGCAAGAUGUGGAGGAGAAUAAGAGAGUUUUGUCUUUGAUGGUGGAACUGGUAGAAGAAUGAAAAGAAAAAAGAAUGAAAGGGAAAGAAUCACAAAAUCACAGAAUGUCAGGAACUGGAAGGAACCUCAGAAGAUCUUCUAGUCCAAUCCCCCCGCUUUAGCAGGAACACCUAGAUUAGGUCACACAGGAAUGUGUCCAGGCAGUAGUAUGCAUCAUAAGUAAUGAAUGUGAAAAGGCAUUAAAUAUAUUACUAGAAUGAACUUUUAUGUGACUAUUAUAAUUUUCAAGUACUAUUGAAUAACAACAAUGGAAAAGUGUUUGUAUGAAUGUACUUGGGUAAUUAAUGGCAAAGAUUGAAGACAUCAUGUAGUGCCAAAUCAAAGACUGUAAAUACAUUCUUUUAAAGAGACUAAUGUACCCAUUGCUAGUUAAUAAUUAAAUAUAUUGCUAAUUAGUAACACAGUGAAACUUCAGAGCUUUAAUGUUAUGGCAUAAUUCAUUUUGACUUCAGUACUGUUAAGAUUAAUGCAUACCUCUUCAUGUAAGUAGCAAUGAAAUAAAUACAUAAAUAAAUUCUCCAUUACGUUGCCAAAUCUUUGCUAAAAUUCAGCUGCAUUAUACAGUAACUUAUUAUCUACUACUCUACAUAGGAGGAGAUUACAGUAUUAGAAAUGGGGCCAAUUAUUGAAAUCAGUGACAGUAACCACUCUUGUGUCUCUUCAUUUUUCUUCUUCAACUCAUGUGGAAACUUAUUUCACUUCUCAGUGGUCUGGAAUUCAAACAAAAGUUUAAGCUGUUACCUUUUUACAGUCCUUUAAAUGCAUUGCUUUUGCCAGAUGGAAGGUUCUACUAUAUGCUUCAUUCACAUAAAAAAAAAAAAAAAAGAAAAAAAGAAAAAAGGAAAAAAAACACAACCCGCAUUCUUUCCCAGCUUCAUUUUUUUCUGCUAACACACGCGUACUUGCAUGUUUUGAUCAGUGUAUUUUUUAAUUGUGUAAUUUACAUUCAUACAGGUUUAACAGCCAAGAGGUACUGGUUCAUAAGUAAACCCUGUCUCAUUUAUACAUAAAUGUAUUAAUCUGAGAGGUCACCCAGCACAUAAAUUUAAAAGUGCUACAGUAUUAAUUUGUUUAAAAUGAAUGGAAACUACCUCUUCAUGCUUAAGUAGCCAUCUGAGUCCAAACAGGAAUGGUCAUGCCAUUGUUAAUUUUCCUAUUAUUACAGGAUUGCAGAGGCCUUCUUUUGCUAGAUCAUGGCUGAUGGGAUUGUCACACUGUAGUGGAUUAAACAGAUGACAUGGAGCUGGGAGCCUGCAGUGGCUGUUUCAAUAGACUGAGACUCUCAGAUUCUCACUCAUGCCAUAGGCAGCACUGACAAAAUGCAGUGCAAAAAUUUAGAUGUUCUUUCAGGAUGUGAACUAAUUACCAGGCUAAAGAGAGAAAUGCAGUAAGAAUAUAAUACUUCCUAGAACAGCACCAAGUCAGGCAGCAUGGUCUUGACUGCUAUGGUGAAAUAAUAACCCCAAUGAGUGCAGGAGUAAUGUCUUCAAAAAUAAACUCAAAUUCUAGUCUCAGUAGAGACACUGGCACCGAUUUUCUCAUCUCCAGAGAUCUUUACCUCUUGCUUGUAAUUGCAUGUGUUCUGCACGGUCACUUUGCAGCUCUUUCCCUCCUUCUGCUACUGAUCUCUGGUACUAGGAAAGGAGAAAGACAAAUAUUGAUUUCCAAGUGUGGUUGGUCUCUUUCAUACAACCCAUCACUGUCCUUUCCAGUAUCUUUCAUCGCAGGACUUGACAUUUACCUGGAAAUAGACCUAUCUGCUCCUGUAUAUCACACUGUGCAUGCACAGAGAUUUAAGAGAAGAAGAAAAAAAAUAUUGAGGAAAGGGAAUGAUGAAUACUACCAUUUAGCAGAAUCCAUUCAGCCAGCCCAUUAAUUUCUUGUCAAAUCUCAUCAGGGAAGAGGAGCUUAAACUCUUCAAAUAUCACAGCUGAAGAGUCUAAGUUACUGUCAUGCUAAAUUACUAAUGAUGUUAGUCUAAAUUACUGUUGAUGCUAGUCUUUGUAUGUGAGAGAGGACUGUACAUAUUGCCCUCCCAGAUCCAUUUAGUCCAGUAUUAUCUCUCUCAUAGUUCCCAGGUAGUCAAAAGCAAAAGUCAUAUACUGUUGGUAAUUUUUGCAUACUAGGUCUAUAAGAUCUUUAGUACCUUGAAAACUUAUUUAAUUCCAGGAACUGAAACUUGCAAAGGAGGUGCCAUGGAAUCCAGAGUACCACUGUUCUUUUCAGUAAGUCUGCACAAGCCUAGCAAAGGAAUAACAAAGUAGAAGAAGACAGUAAUGUCAAUCCAUGACAAGAGAAGAUUUGGACUUUUAAAAUUUUAUUCUUCAACAAUUUAGAGGAAGCCAACUAUAUACUUUCUUAUGCCUUGAUUCCAGUUAGCCUGGAAUUUCAGAAUUAUUGUACCUGGACUUUCUGAACACUACAAAUCAUCCAGUUUCAUCUAGAAAACUUGCAUUAUAUACAAACAAGUUCACAAAGUCAUUUCAUUAGUUGGUGGACUCAGCAAUGCUACACCAAUGUAAUAGAUGAUUGCAGUGUACCUCAUGUCUUAAGAGGCAAGCAACGGGCAUGUGUGGGACAAGUAGUGUACCCAGAUGGCCUCCCAAAGAUCAAUGAUAUAAGUUAAGAUGUUUGGAAACAUCUUGGCCUUUAUAGCCCUAAAUCAGGUGAUCAGCAAUCAUUUAAAACUAUCUAGGCAUCCAAAAAUCAAAAUUAUCUGUAACAACUCAAUACACAGGAUUAUGCUGUUAAUUAUCUCACUUUUGACAUUAGCUAUUAUUUCUUUCUCUAGAGAAAAAGAAAACAACAAAAAUAAAACAAGAUGUCAACUGAUUUAUGCUAGCUUCUUGGCAUCUAAAGUUGGAGGGGGUAAUCAUUAUUAAGCUUUAGAGAACAAGGUUUAAUAGCAACUGCUACCUUUAAUUGAAGUAUUAUUGGCAUGUUGAAUGCUAUACAGGUGAUCUGGUUCUUGUUAACACCCAUGGAGCUAGUAGCUGAAAACACAGAUUUUAAUAGCAAAGCAACUACAUCAACAACUCACCCUUCCAUCCCUUCCUUCUCUUCUCUAGAUAUCCUCCAGCAAAUGCAAGUAUGAAGAACAUUAGUAAUUGCUUUUUAGUACAAAUUUUGUUUCAACAUCACUAAUGGUGAGCAGUAUCAUCUCCCUCGAUGUUUGCUAUUUUGCUGGACUGCUACUCAUACACUGCUAAGAAACACUACAUUAUUUUAAGCUUAAACUGCUUUAACUUCUUCUUCCAGCAACUGGAUUUUAUGUCUUUACCAGUAGUUUUGAAAAACCCUCCCAUAACACAUAUAUCACUUUUCAGCCUCCUCUUUUAUGGAAAGAAAUUCUGAGCUACUCUGAAUUAAAAUAAUUUCAUGAGCAUCCUUUGAAUUCUCAUUGUCUUUUAAUGUUCUUCCAGAGGGAGUGUUAGACCUGGAAAAAAUGUUACAUUAAAGGCAAGACCAUUUCCACCCUUGUGUUUGAUAUUACACUUACACUAAUCACAGGUCUUUUUUCAUUACAUUACAAACAUUUUUUUUUAAGAAAAUCCUUCAUUUUAUCUCACUUCUAAAAUACAUGUAAAUUACAUAAUCAUUUCAUAAGUAAUUCUGAAAAAAAUAAAAAUUACUAUGAAUUCAGUCCUUGUCUAGCAUGUUUUUCUUGAAAAGAAUUUUGUUACAGUAAUUUUCCUACUUGCUUUGUUGGUAAAUGUGCAAACUCUAAUAGUCUUUUCAACACUGUACAUUUACCUUUUGUGUUAUUUUAUUAUACAAUGAAUUUAUACAAUUUAUACAAUGAAAUAUAGACAAUAUAGAAAUGUUAUAUUAAGAAUUUUCUCAUUUUUAUUUUGAAAUAUCAUUGCAGAAUGCAGAGAUUAAAAUCUCUUCCUGAAUCGGCUGAGAGAUGAUAUAAAUACAGCCUUUCUACUACUCUUCUAGGAUGCAAUGUGAAAGAUAAACCUCUGAAAGUGCCUAAGCACCUCUCUGUAUUGGCAGUAUACAGAAGAAACCUGGCAUUACAGAACUGUUGUGGUUUAACCUGGUAAUCAGCUCAGCACCACACCGCCAUUCAUUCACUCACUUCCAUUCCCAGUGGGAUGUUGGAGAGAAUACUGAUGGAUAUUAGGAAGAAGUUUUUCACAAAGAGGGUGGUGAGACACUGGAACGGGUUGCCCAAGGUUGUGGAUGCCCCAUCCCCAGAGACAUUCAACGGGCAGGCUGGAUGUGGCUCUGGGCACAUAGCAGGGGGGUUGAAACUAGAUAAUCUUUGAGGUUCUUUUUAACCCAGGCCAUUCUGAUUCUAUGAUUCUAAGGUUCCAUGAAAACAUUGUUUUUCUCCUAAAGCCAGAACACAGCACUAUACCAGACGCGAUGAAGAAAAUCAACUCUGUCCCAGCUAAAACCAGGACAAGCACUACAACAUUCUCAGAAACAAGUCUAUAUUCCAGGUCACCAUAAAGAGUCUUGCCAAGUACUUUGUACAUAUUUUUACAAGGAAAGGGAUCAGAAGUUUAUUAAUGUGUUCGUGAAAGUUGGAUGUAUUCUUGCUUUUGUUACCAUUUUAAUCACAUUUCUUUAAAAACCUUAAAGAGAAUAAAGAUUCAAAUUCUCCCUGCUAGUAAAACAAACAAACAGGUCUCGUAACUUCAUUUUAGGAAGUAUAUUUGGAAGGCUGGCUGUCAAUCUAGGGAAAAAAUAAUGGAUUUAUAUCCAACAAAGCAACUAUUGGAGUCUGGAAAAUAAAAUAAAAUAAACAGCAACAACAAAAUCAACAAAAAAAGAAUUAAAAGAUUAAAUCACUAUCUAAAUAUCUAAAUAGACAAAUAUCUAUUAAAAUUAUAAUUUUUACAACAAUGAUUUUGUCUUAAAUAUAGUUUUACAUCUAGCAGUUAAGCUUUAUGAUCAUAUUUCUUUAAAGUUUGCCAUUAAGUGAUCCUCAAGUGGAUCAGAGUCCUAUAUAAAUCCAGUCGAUGGGCACGAAAUGUUGAAUACUCUGUUACGAGAGGAGUCUUACUUACUGUGUUUUAAUGUCCAUCAGCACAGAGAACAACUCUGGUUUUAAUAUUGAGUUUGUCUGGAAUGACUGGAAUUCUGGUCAAAGGCUUUACUGAAAAAGAUAUAUAUAUAUAUAUAUAUUCCCUCUAAAUUAACCAAGAGAAACAAAAUUAGGAAAGCAUCUAUUUUUUAUCUGCCAGUAGUUGAAGUACUUCUCUGAAGCAUUUGGGCAUUGCAGCAAGACAGAAGGAUUUUGGACAUGAGUGGUACUCAUGGUUCGUGGGUCCUUCUGUCAGGCUAAGUGUGAAUCUCCCCCACCAAAUGCUGCCCAGGAAAUUCUCUCCUUCUCUCUGCACACACUGCAGCUAUCAGAAGUGACAAAAUUAUUAGUGUCACCUCUACACAAGUGAAAAUAGUUUCCUCUUGCUGAAUUGUGUCAAACACAGCAAACAGAUUUUGACUGAUCUCUAUUCUGCCUUCAUUCUUGAUUCUGAAAGAAAAGAAAAAGCACAGAUAUUAGCAAUUUUGAUUCAUUAGCAACCCUUAGAGAAAUCUCACCUGAUCUCCUAGAUACAGAAUGCUUUUUGCUAAGAAGAGAAAGACACCUUAUUUUUAAUAGAUAGCUCAGGGCUUGAAUUGCACUCAAAUGACUCUAAUAUCUGAGUAUUAAAAAAAAUAAAACAAAUAAAAAAAUCCUUAGUCUGAUAAAUGAUUUCUAUGAGGAGUUGCCCUUUCUCUGAAAUUCAUUCCUUUGGAACAAAUCCGUAUUUUGCAAGCAAUUAUAUGGUUGAUUUACUUCAGUUAAAAUCCAUUCCACUUUUUUUGAGGAAAAAAAAAAACAACAAAAAGGAAAACAAAACAAAAUAAAACCGUAGUACUGCUUUUUAUACUAUUAUUCAGGCAGUUUCCUAAAGUGGAGAUAUUAUAGAAGAACCAAGAAACUGCAAAAUGGGAUCAGAAUAUAGAUUGUUCAGAAAUCAUCAUGUUUAGCAUUUGCACAGAUUUUAUAAUCCUUGCCUAAAAAUGUCUGCUACAUACUAACAGUCCAUUCUUUCAGGUAAAUGGGCCAUUCAGCCCUCACAGGGGAAAAACUUAAUGUUUUAUAGUCAGAGAGAUGUUUUGAAACACGCACACAAUUGCCCCCAAUCCCUCAAAGAAAAACAGCAAACCAGCUUGCUGUCUUCCAAUUCCAUCAUCAACCUCAUUUUUUACUGACUGAAGUUGUAUUUUUGUAGAACUCUUUUUUUUAAUUAUUUUUUUAUUUUUAUUUUUACAUUAGUUUUAAAGGCAGUAUUAAGCUCUGUCUUUGUAAUAUUAUAGCUGUGUCUGUACUAGCAAAUUAAUGAAUGUAAUAGCUCAGAUUUGGGUAUUUUGACUUGAUCAUCUGUUGAUAGAGGAGUCUUGGCAGGCUCUUAAAUUAAGAAAACAAUGUUUUGGAGGUUCAGAAAUGAAUGCAUGCAAGGAACCAUUCCCAGUACUUAUUUUGCCUGCCACCAUUCUGUUUUGGAGACUAACAGAGCUUAAUUGUAUGGACACAGACCAUUUCAUGCCAGCUGGCCUUGCUGUGAGAGACUAGGUUUCAGCAUGUUUAAUUGAUUGCUUAGACUAGCAAACUUGUUAGACUAUAUCAGUGAAAAGAUUAAGACUAUCAUCUGAGUAAAAUAUUUCCUGGCUGAGGAUAAAACAAAACAAAACAAAACAAAAACCAACCCACAUAAGAAUGACUUUCUUCAAGAUUGGUUUUCUUUUCAGUGUGUCAAUAACAGAUUGAACCUUGUCAGACCUUUACAAAGAGUCUUGUUGAAGUAAAGAUGUCCCUUUUAAGAAGCAAAGUCUUUGAAAACACAAGGAAAUCCUAAAAGAGUAAAAGACUCUGCAUUCUUAUCCUCAGCAUGUGAGUUAAUAGAAGUCUUCUAAAAAUAAAAAUGUCUCCACAUCUCUAGUUUACCAUGACAGAUCUUAAACCUAAGUCUACAAGACUCAGUGAGAAAAUUCAUAAUAUAUGCGAUGCACAGAAACAUUGAAAGCAUGUCUAUCUCUGUCCCCAUGUCCCACAAAUGGUGUCUUUCUGUGCAGAGCGACCCAUCCAUAACAAGGCAGCCUGUGUGGAUCCCUGCAGAAACUCUCACAAGCCCAGGAACUUCUGUGCUCCUAUGGGGUUGCUCAGCCAGAAGCACAUCCCUUAACUCUCUGUCUUGGAAGAUGAACUGAAGAUAGCAGUACACAUACAUAGUUUUCUUCCAGUCAAACAUAUAAAAGGAUCUUCUACACUUGGAUAAAGGCCUUCUAGAGCCAUUUAUUUCUGUUCAGUACUUGCUCUUACCUUGAAUAGAAAUAAGCAGUAAGCAAAAAAAAAAAAAAAAAAAAAAAGCUAACAUAUUGGCUCUUCUGUACUGCUGAGAAUUGUCAACAAUAUUAGCUCCCAUUCUAACACUUCACCUUGUUUAUCCACACUGAGAGGAAACAGCUCAUCCUUCAGGAAAUACCACACAGAAGUUAACUGCAAAGAUUGAGGCAUGAAUCAGAUUGCCUUUCACCAAGGUAAUUUUUCAGUCUGUUUUUGCAAAAAAAAUUAUAAAGACACUUAAGCACCCAACCAUUUAUUUUCUCUAUAUAAAUACAUCUAUUCAAAAAUAGACACAAAGUCUGUACUGUAUAUAUACAUACAACAUAGAUAGAUAAUAAUACAUAUAUAAUACGCAAUUAGUGUGUGAUGUUAAUGUGCAAUUAUAUAUGUUUUAAUAUAUAUGCAUGCAUACUGGUACUUACUAGUUCAAGAAAACCUAGAUAUUCAGGGAAGUACUUAGAUUUACUGGAUAUUUUCCAGAAUAAAAGCCAAGAGCAAUUGAGAUUAAAAAAUGUUGCCACAGUCAUACAAGUUCACUUUGAAAUUAUGAGAUGACAAGGAAGAAGUAGAAAUUUUAUAUAGCUUCUCCACAGUUUCCUCGUAUCUUACAUGACAUAGACUAGCUACACACCUUUAAAAUUACUUCCAUGUUUUUCACUGUAUAUAUAUAUUUGAGGGAAAGAAUCUAAAUAAAAAUAUCCUGAUAUAUGUUUCCAUAUAUGGAUUGCAUAAUAUUACAAUUGUAUUUACAUGUUAUAAUAUAUAUGUUACAUUGAUGUUGCUUAAAAACUGCUUACAUGAAGGACAGCAGAAUUUGGCUUUAGAAAAUCAUUUAUUUUCACACAAAUAAACUUUAAAAGCUAUAGUUUUCAUUAUGUAUUUAGGUUAUAACAUGCUGCAGUUAAUAAUUUUAGUAUUUGUUUUAAACCUGGUUCCCGUUUGAAUUUCAAUUUCACAGAACAGUAAUUUCUCAAACAAAUAGAGACACAGAAGUGAAAAGAGUUAGCUCUACAAACAAACUAAAUAUGCCACAAUAAGGUUUAAAUUCCUUUCACACCCAAGGGAUUUUGAAAUAACACAUGAAACACCUAAAUCAAAUGUGUGAAAAUAAAUAAUCUAAUCAUGUCUUGGUUAACUUGCUAACAACAUUUGCGAUACAAAAGAAUAAUGUGUCACACUUGAACUGGUGGAUUAAUGAUUGACACUGUAACUAGCGAAACUCAACUGAUUGAUUUACCAAUGUUUUACAACCUUUAUUGCUUUGCUCCUCUACUGGAUUGGUGAAAAAGAUAAUUUAGCAAGUUUCUGAAAGCCAGAAUGCAACUCAGAAGACCUUAUAAAGGAAGGAUUAAAUAUUUUCGUUUAUAUAUGUACAUGUACAUGAUAUAUAUAUGCCAGAAAAUGAAAUCAGAUAAAAAAAAAAACUGACGAUUUUUUAUGAUUAGUGAAUAUACAUUUUGCAUUCAUAUAUUGUAAUACUACUUCAUAUGCGCCUGGGUGGUUUCAAAAUAUUGUAGGACUACAUUUAAACCCUCCUUGUAAAAAACAUUUAUUCAGAUAGAAUAUGAAAAAUUACAGAUUUAAGAGAAAAAAAAAAAAACAUUUUACAACAACAAAAUAAAUUAAAAAAAACAAACAGAAAAAUAAC